CCUACGGGAGGCUGCAGUGAGGAAUAUUGGUCAAUGGACGAGAGUCUGAACCAGCCAAGCAGCGUGAAGGAUGACUGCCCUAUGGGUUGUAAACUUCUUUUAUAUGGGAAUAAAAUGUUCCACGUGUGGGAUUUUGUAUGUACCAUAUGAAUAAGGAUCGGCUAACUCCGUGCCAGCAGCCGCGGUAAUACGGAGGAUCCGAGCGUUAUCCGGAUUUAUUGGGUUUAAAGGGAGCGUAGGUGGAUUGUUAAGUCAGGUGUGAAAGUUUGCGGCUCAACCGUAAAAUUGCAGUUGAAACUGGCAGUCUUGAGUACAGUAGAGGUGGGCGGAAUGCGUGGUGUAGCGGUGAAAUGCUUAGAUAUCACGAAGAACUCCGAUUGCGAAGGCAGUUCACUGGACUGCAACUGACACUGAGGCUCGAAAGUGUGGGUAUCAAACAGGAUUAGAUACCCGUGUAGUC
rnacentral:rRNA from 1 species